rnacentral:rRNA from 1 species
CCUACGGGUGGCAGCAGCAGGGAAUAUUGCGCAAUGGGCGAAAGCCUGACGCAGCGACGCCGCGUGGGGGAAGAAGGCCUUCGGGUUGUAAACCCCUUUUCUCAGGGAAGAACACUGACGGUACCUGAGGAAUAAGCCUCGGCUAACUACGUGCCAGCAGCCGCGGUAAUACGUAGGAGGCGAGCGUUAUCCGGAUUUACUGGGCGUAAAGCGGGCGCGGGCGGCUUCUUAAGUCCGGGGUGAAAUCUUUCGGCUAAACCGGGAGGGGUCCUCGGAUACUGGGAGGCUGGAGGGCAGCAGAAGGAAGUGGAAUUCCCGGUGUAGUGGUGAAAUGCGUAGAUAUCGGGAGGAACACCAGUGGCGAAGGCGGCUUCCUAGGCUGUCCAUGACGCUGAGGCCCGAAAGCGUGGGGAGCAAACCGGAUUAGAUACCCCUGUAGU